rnacentral:lncRNA from 10 species
CUGGAAGGAAGCACUGAGGCUCAGCCAGACCUGCAGGGAUCUGAAGAGCAUUGUUCUUUCCUGUUUUAACAUCCCAGGUCAACAGCCAUUCCCCAGUGACUGCUGAGUCCAGGGCUCUGAGCUUCCAGCUGAGAAAGCAGAUGAAAAAGCCACAAACCUGCCUUGAGAGGCUGGUGGUCUGGAAGGGGAGAGGACACAGAGAACAGACAAUGGAAUCAGUGCAGGAGUGAUGAGGGAAAAAGGAAGGACCACCUGAGGCUGACAAGCCCUGGAACCCCAACCCUCCAUUUACCGAGAAGUGCCUAAAGGUCAUGGGUGGCAUCCUGGGUGGUGAAGCACCUGUUACUUGGAAGUACUAAUGCUCCAUGGUCGUCAUCACCUUGCCAAGCCUAGCUCCUCCUAGGUCCAUGGUUGGAUCUGCAUGUCCCAGGCACAUCUGGAAGUGGUUCAGAAAUGGCACAGAACAGCAAGAGAGAUGCAUCCCCAACGACCGUCCUCUGUGCUGGAGCUGCCAGCCAUGGAGGACAUGCUAACAAGAGGGAGGGGGUUACCACCAGGCCAGGACCUGGUACAGCCGCUAAAAAUUCUUCAGAAGAGACUAGAGCUGUACUCUGCUUGAUUGCACCUGGUUUCUUGACCUACCUAAGCCCAGACUCCUGUAGUCUUCCCCUUAAAUACCUCUGCUUGCCAAACAGGCAAUGCUGGUCCUGAGACAGAAAUUCCUACUUACCAAGGAAUCCUAGAGUAGAAAAAUAAAAUAAAAUAAAAUUGGGAGCUAAGCUAUUUGGACGCAAAAGCAUAGGAAUGCUAUAAUGGACUGAGCGCGGUGGCUCACGCCUGUAAUCCCAACACUUUGGGAGGCUGAGGCGGGCGGAUCACAAGGUCAGGAGUUCGAGACCAGCCUGGCCAACAUGAUGAAACCCCAUCUCUACUAAAAAUACAAAAAUUAGCCAGGUGGCGCAUGCCUGUAACCCCAUCUACUCAGGAGGCUGAGGCUUGAACCCAGGAGGCUGAGGCUGACGUGAGCUGAGAUCUCGCCACUGCACUCCAGCCUGGGUGACAGAGAAAAAAAAAAAAAGGAUGAC